rnacentral:rRNA from 1 species
GAUGAACGCUGGCGGCGUGCUUAACACAUGCAAGUCGAACGGGAUCCAUCAGGCUUUGCUUGGUGGUGAGAGUGGCGAACGGGUGAGUAAUGCGUGACCGACCUGCCCCAUACACCGGAAUAGCUCCUGGAAACGGGUGGUAAUGCCGGAUGCUCCAGUUGAUCGCAUGGUCUUCUGGGAAAGCUUUCGCGGUAUGGGAUGGGGUCGCGUCCUAUCAGCUUGACGGCGGGGUAACGGCCCACCGUGGCUUCGACGGGUAGCCGGCCUGAGAGGGCGACCGGCCACAUUGGGACUGAGAUACGGCCCAGACUCCUACGGGAGGCAGCAGUGGGGAAUAUUGCACAAUGGGCGCAAGCCUGAUGCAGCGACGCCGCGUGAGGGAUGGAGGCCUUCGGGUUGUAAACCUCUUUUAUCGGGGAGCAAGCG